UACGUCACAUUCCACGGAGACAGAAUGCCCCAUGUUAAUAUUGUUUAUUUGCCGUACCGAACAAGGAAGUAUGUAAUAUUUAAACAGUAUAGACACGAGAUUAACAGUGCUCUGAAAAGGUCAACCUUCUAUAGGAUGUGGACAGCAUCGUUCCCACAUGUUAAAAUUAAAGAGAUUAAUUCGUUUUCAAAGUGUACAAAGUGUUCAUCAUUAGAAAGACGACUUGAAAAAACUACAAAUCCUCAAAUACGAGAAAAGUUGCUACAAAUGAGACAAGAUCAUAACACUCGACAAAUGGCAGAGAGAAAGUACUACUACAGAAAAAGAGAUCUAGCUAAAGCUCAUCCGACGCGGUAUUUAAGUUUGAUAAUAGAUGGCAUGGACCAGUGUAAG